rnacentral:rRNA from 1 species
UACGUAGGGGGCUAGCGUUGUCCGGAAUCAUUGGGCGUAAAGCGCGCGCAGGCGGUCUUUUAAGUCUGAUGUGAAAGCCCACGGCUCAACCGUGGAGGGUCAUUGGAAACUGGGGGGCUUGAGUGCAGGAGAGAAGAGUGGAAUUCCACGUGUAGCGGUGAAAUGCGUAGAGAUGUGGAGGAACACCAGUGGCGAAGGCGACUCUUUGGCCUGUAACUGACGCUGAGGCGCGAAAGCGUGGGGAGCAAACAGG